rnacentral:rRNA from 1 species
AUUGAACGCUGGCGGAAUGCUUUACACAUGCAAGUCGAACGGCAGCACGGACUUCGGUCUGGUGGCGAGUGGCGAACGGGUGAGUAAUGUAUCGGAACGUGCCCAGUCGUGGGGGAUAACGUAGUGAAAAUUACGCUAAUACCGCAUACGAUCUAUGGAUGAAAGCGGGGGAUCGCAAGACCUCGCGCGAUUGGAGCGGCCGAUAUCAGAUUAGGUAGUUGGUGGGGUAAAGGCCCACCAAGCCAACGAUCUGUAGCUGGUCUGAGAGGACGACCAGCCACACUCGACCUGAGACACGGUCAAGACGCCUACGGGAGGCAGCAGUGGGGAAUUUUGGACAAUGGGCGAAAGCCUGAUCCAGCCAUUCCGCGUGCAGGAUGAAGGCCCUCGGGUUGUAAACUGCUUUUGUACAGAACGAAAAGGUUUCUACUAAUACUAGGAGCUCAUGACGGUACUGUAAGAAUAAGCACCGGCUAACUACGUGCCAGCCGCCGCCGUAA